CGGAGGGUGCGAGCGUUGUUCGGAAUCACUGGGCGUAAAGCGCGUGUAGGCGGCCCAUUAAGUCUGAUGUGAAAGCCCGGGGCUCACCCCCGGAAGUGCAUUGGAAACUGAUGGGCUGGAGUCCCGGAGAGGAGGGUGGAAUUCCUGGUGUAGCGGUGAAAUGCGUAGAUAUCAGGAGGAACACCGGUGGCGAAGGCGGCCCUCUGGACGGUGACUGACGCUGAGACGCGAAAGCGUGGGGAGCAAACAGGAUUAGAUACCCUGGUAGUCCACGCCGUAAACGAUGAGCACUAGGUGUCGCGGGUAUUGACCCCUGCGGUGCCGACGCUAACGCAUUAAGUGCUCCGCCUGGGGAAUACGGCCGCAAGGUUA
rnacentral:rRNA from 1 species